rnacentral:rRNA from 1 species
CGAAGGGGGCUAGCGUUGCUCGGAAUCACUGGGCGUAAAGGGUGCGUAGGCGGGUCUUUAAGUCAGGGGUGAAAUCCUGGAGCUCAACUCCAGAACUGCCUUUGAUACUGAAGAUCUUGAGUUCGGGAGAGGUGAGUGGAACUGCGAGUGUAGAGGUGAAAUUCGUAGAUAUUCGCAAGAACACCAGUGGCGAAGGCGGCUCACUGGCCCGAUACUGACGCUGAGGCACGAAAGCGUGGGGAGCAAACAGGAUUAGAUACCCUGGUAGUCCACACCGUAAACGAUGAAUGCCAGCCGUUAGUGGGUUUACUCACUAGUGGCGCAGCUAACGCUUUAAGCAUUCCGCCUGGGGAGUACGGUCGCAAGAUUA